rnacentral:rRNA from 1 species
UACAGAGGUCUCAAGCGUUGUUCGGAUUUAUUGGGCGUAAAGGGCGCGUAGGCGGCGGGGUAAGUCGGGUGUGAAAUCUCAGGGCUCAACCCUGAAACUGCACUUGAUACUGCUCUGCUUGAGGACUGGAGAGGAGACUGGAAUUCACGGUGUAGCAGUGAAAUGCGUAGAUAUCGUGAGGAAGACCAGUGGCGAAGGCGGGUCUCUGGACAGUUCCUGACGCUGAGGCGCGAAAGGCCAGGGGAGCAAAGCGGG